rnacentral:sRNA from 2 species
CGCCCGUCAAACCAUGGGAGCUGGUAAUGCCCGAAGUCGGUUUAUUAACAAACUGCCUAAGGCAGGACUGGUGACUGGGGUUAAGUCGUACAAGGUAUCCCUACGAGAACGUGGGGAAGGAUUACCUCCUUUCUACGGAGUACAAAGUUGUUAAAUUAACAACAUUAACCUUUAUUAGUCUAGACCUACUUAUUUUUAGCAGUCAUGGCUUGUUAGGUCGCAAGCAAUAUAUCUAGUUUUGAGAGGACAUCUCUCAAAAUGUUCUUUGAAAACUGAAUAGUAAAUAUUUUAAAAUAUUACAACGACAUCAAAAUUGAAUAAAUUUGGUUUUAUUCGUAUUGAUUCAUCGAGUAAUCAUAAUUAUUAUGAUUCAUUGAAAUGUCUUAAAAUACACAUCAUAACAACAAUAGGAAAUCUUAAUUUUUUAAUUAAGGACAUACUUUUAAAUAAGUAAGAGUUUGUGGUGGAUGCCUUGGGUCUGGAAGUCGAUGAAGGACGUGAUUACCUGCGAUAAGCCUCGUGGAGCUGGAUAUAAGCUACGAAACGGGGAUUUCCGAAUGGGGGAACCUAGCUAGGGUAAUGCCUAGUUGCCAUCUUCUGAAUACAUAGGAAUUUGAGCGAGACACCAUGUGAACUGAAACAUCUUAGUAGCAUGAGGAAAAGAAAAUAAACAAUGAUUUUUUUAGUAGCGGCGAGCGAACGAGAAAGAGCCCAAACCACAUUAGUGGGGUUGUAGGACAAUCUAUACAGAGUUACAAAGUUAAAUGAUAGCAGAAACGUUUGGGAAGACGUAGCAUAGAGGGUGAUACUCCCGUAAGUGAAAUUAUUUAACCUCUUGAUUGUAUCCUGAGUAGGGCGGGGCACGUGAAACCCUGUCUGAAUCUGCCGGGACCACCCGGUAAGGCUAAAUACUAACCAGACACCGAUAGUGAACUA